rnacentral:tRNA from 1 species
GGAAGUGUGGCCGAGUGGUCCAAGGUGCUGACAGUCUCUCAGGAGGCGUGAGUUCUAAUCCCACUGCUGCCA